rnacentral:rRNA from 1 species
AGUGAACGCUGGCGGCGUGCUUAACACAUGCAAGUCGAGCGAAGUACUAACGGUAGCAAUACUGGAUAGGCUUAGCGGCAAACGGGUGAGUAACACGUAGGCAAUCUGCCUCUUAGAGGGGGAUAGCCCGCCGAAAGGCGGGAUAAUACCGCGUAAGAAUACGGUCCGGCAUCGGAUUGUAUUGAAACAUCCGCAAGGAUGGCUAAGAGAGGAGCCUGCGUCCUAUCAGCUAGUUGGUGAGGUAACGGCUCACCAAGGCAACGACGGGUAGCCGGUCUGAAAGGACGGUCGGCCACACUGACACUGAGACACGGGUCAGACACCUACGGGUGGCAGCAGUGAGGAAUUUUGGACAAUGGGGAAACCCUGAUCCAGCGACGCCGCGUGGAGGACGAAGGUCUUCGGAUUGUAAACUCCUUUUGUUUGGGACUAAGAAACCUGUAGAAUACGGGGAGUGAAUGUACCAGAUGAAUAAGCCACGGCUAACUUCGUGCCAGCAGCCGCAGU